AUUGAACGCUGGCGACAGGCCUAACACAUGCAAGUCGAGCGGGGUUUUCGGACCUAGCGGCGGACGGGUGAGUAAUGCGUAGGAAGCUGCCCGAUAGAGGGGGAUACCAGUUGGGAACGACUGUUAAUACCGCAUAAUGUCUACGGACCAAAGUGUGGGACCUUCGGGCCACAUGCUAUCGGAUGCGCCUACGUGGGAUU
rnacentral:rRNA from 1 species